rnacentral:lncRNA from 1 species
UUGCUUUGGGAUUACCCAACAAACUAAUACCAGUUAUUUCCUUUUGUUUUGCUUUUUUUCUAUCAGAUACCUGAACAUUGAGACCCUUUGGAUAUCGUUGAGAAUAUGGAAGUAUGAUAUAAAUCCACAGUGUAAUUCGGUGGAUCACUGGAGGCUAAACGAGUUCGAAGAUCAACAAGUUAUCGACGCUAUUCAAUGAUCGUUCCAGCAAUGGCAAUACACACGGUUAACUCUGAUCGUAUUCUAUUGAACGCAUAGCAGUUGCCGGCAGCAGAUAAAAGCAGUCGAUGAAUCGGCCAGGCGAUCCCUUAGCUACCGCACUUUAUUAAAGCUACUCGUUAUACUGGAUACAACUACUCGUUAUAACUAA